GAUGAACGCCGGCGGUGUGCCUAAUACAUGCAAGUCGUACGCACUGGCCCAACUGAUUGAUGGUGCUUGCACCUGAUUGACGAUGGAUCACCAGUGAGUGGCGGACGGGUGAGUAACACGUAGGUAACCUGCCCCGGAGCGGGGGAUAACAUUUGGAAACAGAUGCUAAUACCGCAUAACAACAAAAGCCACAUGGCUUUUGUUUGAAAGAUGGCUUUGGCUAUCACUCUGGGAUGGACCUGCGGUGCAUUAGCUAGUUGGUAAGGUAACGGCUUACCAAGGCGAUGAUGCAUAGCCGAGUUGAGAGACUGAUCGGCCACAAUGGAACUGAGACACGGUCCAUACUCCUACGGGAGGCAGCAGUAGGGAAUCUUCCACAAUGGGCGCAAGCCUGAUGGAGCAACACCGCGUGAGUGAAGAAGGGUUUCGGCUCGUAAAGCUCUGUUGUUGGAGAAGAACGUGCGUGAGAGUAACUGUUCACGCAGUGACGGUAUCCAACCAGAAAGUCACGGCUAACUACGUGCCAGCCGCCGCCGUAACAC
rnacentral:rRNA from 1 species